UUUUUUUUUUUGUCCAGCAUUAUGAUUUCUUGUAGGUUAUAUAAUGUAGUUUCUUACAGGGCUAGCUUGGUGGACAAGGGGAGAACACUAGAUAUGGUUUAUCUCAACUUUAGGAAGGCUUUUGACACUGUCUACUCUAAUAUUCUCAUAGCUGAUGACGUAUGGGCUAGAAAAUUGAACAAGGAGGUGGACUGAAAACUGAACUGCCAGGCUUGAAGAGCUGCCAUCAGCAGCCCAGGAUGAAGAGCUGCUGCAGCAUUCAAUCCUGCAGGAGAACUAUUUUAUAUUUUUGUUGGUGAUGCAGUUUCAGAGUAUUCAUUUUUCUCAGGACAAUGCAGUUUCUUCCAUAUAAACUUUAGGGCAUGGGAUUCAGCCCAAGACUUUGGUGUUGCUGUACUUUUCUUGAAAUGGUCAUAAUAAUAUGUCACUGAAAAGCAAUUUUUUACAAAUCGGUCUUCAAGAUCCAAACUUAUGUAAAAGCAGAGAGCUUGAAGAUAUAUUGCUCUUUCAUUGCUGAAAAUGCCUUUUCUGAUUUUGCUAAGUCAAAUCAACACAAGCAAAUAACCCCAUGUUAGUUAGUGCAUUGAGAGCAAACAAUUUCAUAUAUGUGUCAUCCUUGUAAUAGACAAAAAAUCAGAAGCUGUCAAAAAAGGCAAAGGAAUUCAGUGCUUUGGCUUGUAGCAUUUUUGUUGCUCUCAUCCUGCCAACUGCUUAAGCGUGUGGCCAAUUUUUAGAGUGGGAGCAGUUCUACUGAUUCAUGUAUUUUCAAAUUUAUUUUUAAAAAACAUGUUAUUAAGCAUGUGUAAUAUUGGAUUAAAAUUUUAAAUUUUGCUUUCACA